rnacentral:rRNA from 1 species
UACGUAGGGUGCAAGCGUUAAUCGGAAUUACUGGGCGUAAAGCGCGCGCAGGCGGUUUUGUAAGCCAGACGUGAAAUCCCCGGGCUUAACCUGGGAAUGGCAUUUGGGACUGCAAGGCUCGAGUGCGGCAGAGGAGACUGGAAUUCCUGGUGUAGCAGUGAAAUGCGUAGAUAUCAGGAGGAACACCGAUGGCGAAGGCAGGUCUCUGGGCUGACACUGACGCUGAGGCGCGAAAGCGUGGGGAUCAAACAGG